rfam:Myotis davidii contig72990, whole genome shotgun sequence.
GUGCUGGCUUCGGCAGGACAUAUACUAAAAUUGGAACGAUAUAGAGAAGAUUAGCAUGGCCCCUGUGCAAGAAAAAAAAUUAUGCUGGGUGUCGUUUCAGAAAAUAUAUUU